rnacentral:lncRNA from 1 species
AGCACCUGGAGCAGUUUCCGCAGUCGAUGAUGGCGUUGUAGGAGGCGUUUACCGAGCCGAAGUAGUACUGGGUCUGUUUCAUGACGCAGCUGCUCUCGCGCGUCUCGGGGUUCCCCUCGGCCUCCGCGGGGUCUGCGAGGGCCCAGAGCGCCUCAGCUCCGCCCACAGACCCUGGCAAGGUCUCCGGCCUCCCUCAGUGGUAGGCCCCACCCUCCCCAUGGAGUCGUCUUAGCUCAGAUUGGGGACCCGGACUUGAGGAGGCGCCUCCAAAGCCCUACCUACCUGCUUGGAACCAGCUGUGGUAGAUGAGGCCGUAGAGAAGCUGCUGGAACAGGGACCUGCAGCGCACGGGGAGCCGAGUGCAGGUGGUCAGCAGAGGACGAUGCCGUGCCCUACUUCUCUUCUGAGCCCUGCCGGCCAGGGAGCACCUUCUCUACCCACCUCCCGCUCAGGACUCACCAGGCGGCAGCAGAGGUCCACCAGGCCAGCACCAGGAAUCCUCCAUCAUCAAUGAGGACACACAGUAAGUCCUAAGAGGAAGGGAAUGGGGAGGAAAAUGGAGAGGGGCUGGGCCCCGGACCUUCCACCGCAGGCAGUCCAGUGGUUCAGAGUUGGGGGGCAUCACUCCCCCAGUCCUGGGGAGGCUGUGAAGUCAGGGUGGGGAUGUUGAGACCCACAGGCCAAGGGAUGUGCUGUGAGUCGCGGCUGGGACUAGGAAGUCUGGAAGUGGGGUAAGCUAGGGUCCAGGGUAGGUUCAGGGCACACAUACCUCAUUGUUAACCUCGCAGUCCAUCUCACAGUGGCUGUUGGGGCCGCACUGCUGGGCAGAGAGUGAGGACCGUAAGCCACCCACCAGUUUUCCUCCCUCCCAUCACCUUUCAUACAUCCGGUUCCCCAGGCCAUCUGCAGCUGGCCCUGCCUCCAUGUAGGUGUUGGAGCCACUGAGUGGAGGGUUGGUGGGGGUUCCAGGGGACUCCAGGAAGGGCACUGCUGGGUUACUGCCCCCGCCCCUGCCCAAAUACCUUCUGAGGCUG